UACGGGGGGGGCAAGCGUUGUUCGGAAUUACUGGGCGUAAAGGGCUCGUAGGCGGCCAACUAAGUCAGACGUGAAAUCCCUCGGCUUAACCGGGGAACUGCGUCUGAUACUGGAUGGCUUGAGUUCGGGAGAGGGAUGCGGAAUUCCUGGUGUAGCGGUGAAAUGCGUAGAUAUCAGGAGGAACACCUGUGGUGUAGACAGCUUACUGGACCAUAACUGACGCUGAGGCACGAAAGCGUGGGUAGCAAACAGG
rnacentral:rRNA from 1 species